rnacentral:rRNA from 1 species
UACGUAGGGUGCAAGCGUUGUCCGGAAUUAUUGGGCGUAAAGAGCUCGUAGGCGGUCUGUCGCGUCUGCUGUGAAAACUCAGGGCUUAACCCUGAGCUUGCAGUGGGUACGGGCAGACUAGAGUGCGGUAGGGGAGACUGGAAUUCCUGGUGUAGCGGUGAAAUGCGCAGAUAUCAGGGAGGGAACACCCGGUGGCGAAAGGCGGGUCUCUGGGCCGAUACUAACGC